rnacentral:rRNA from 1 species
CGGGGGACCGAAAGGCCUCGCGCUAUUGGAGCGGCCGAUGGCUGAUUAGCUAGUUGGUGGGGUAAAGGCCUACCAAGGCUACGAUCAGUCGCUGGUCUGAGAGGACGACCAGCCACACUGGGACUGAGACACGGCCCAGACUCCUACGGGAGGCAGCAGUGGGGAAUUUUGGACAAUGGGCGAAAGCCUGAUCCAGCAAUGCCGCGUGUGCGAAGAAGGCCUUCGGGUUGUAAAGCACUUUUGUCAGGAAAGAAAUUGUUUGGGCUAAUACCCCGAGCCGUUGACGGUACCUGAAGAAUAAGCACCGGCUAACUACGUGCCAGCAGCCGCGGUAAUACGUAGGGUGCGAGCGUUAAUCGGAAUUACUGGGCGUAAAGCGUGCGCAGGCGGUUUGUUAAGACAGUUGUGAAAUCCCCGGGCUCAACCUGGGAACUGCAAUUGUGACUGGCAGGCUAGAGUUUGGCAGAGGGGGGUGGAAUUCCUGGUGUAGCAGUGAAAUGCGUAGAUAUCAGGAGGAACACCGAUGGCGAAGGCAGCCCCCUGG